CACGUAGGGUGCGAGCGUUGUCCGGAAUUAUUGGGCGUAAAGAGCUCGUAGGCGGCUUGUCACGUCGGGUGUGAAAGCCCGGGGCUUAACCCCGGGUCUGCAUUCGAUACGGGCUAGCUAGAGUGUGGUAGGUGAGAUCGGAAUUCCUGGUGUAGCGGUGAAAUGCGCAGAUAUCAGGAGGAACACCGGUGGCGAAGGCGGAUCUCUGGGCCAUUACUGACGCUGAGGAGCGAAAGCGUGGGGAGCGAACAGG
rnacentral:rRNA from 1 species